UCUCUUUGGAAAGAUGGACAAUAAAUAAGAUGAUAAUAUAUAACAAUAAUCAAAUAAUUACUGCUUGUCAAAAGUAAUCUGAGGGAAAUAAGUUGCAAAGGAAGGGUACAUUUCCUCAGUUCAUUCAGGUGUCUGUUCAAAUGCUCCCUCAUCUAAGGUAUCACAUGACGUAAACAGGCCUCCUCCAUCUUUUCUUCUAGGCAUUUAUCGUGACCUGACAGAGUACAUAUUUAUCUAUAAUCUGUCUCCCUCCACCAGAAUGAAAAUUUCCCGGGAGUAGGACUUGGUCUCGUAUUCGUUGCUGUAUCUCCAGCACGUCGGUAGAGCACUACCCAACACUUCGUAAAUAUUUGAUGAAAAAAUAGAUGAGAAAAUGGCCUUGCAUGGAGAAAAAGCUUGCUCAUUUAUGUGGCUCUAAGAAAGAAUUUGUCUUGAUAUCCAGUGGUGCUUACCUGACUAUGAAUUUUAAGACUGAUAAGGCUGUGGGAGAAAGAGGUUUUAAAGUUAUGUUGGAAGAUAUAGUUCAGAGGCAUUCACAAAAAAGUAAUAUGGGGACCCAACUGCCUAUCAAUGAUGAGGCGAAGGAAUAA
rnacentral:lncRNA from 1 species